UACGUAGGGACCAAGCGUUGUCCGGAAUCAUUGGGCGUAAAGCGCGCGUAGGUGGCCAUUUAAGUCCGCUGUGAAAGUCAGAGGCUCAACCUUUGGAAGCCGGUGGAUACUGGAUGGCUAGAGUACGGAAGAGGCGAGUGGAAUUCCUGGUGUAGCGGUGGAAUGCGCAGAUAUCAGGAGGAACACCAAUAGCGAAGGCAGCUCGCUGGGACGUUACUGACACUAAGGCGCGAAAGCGUGGGGAGCGAACAGG
rnacentral:rRNA from 1 species